rnacentral:tRNA from 1 species
GGAGGGUACCGGGCGAUGGUGCCCAACCCGGCUUGAACCCGGGGGUGGCUGAAAGGCCAGGGGUUCGACUCCUCUACCCUCCG